UGCAAGUCGUACGCACUGGCCCAACUGAUUGAUGGUGCUUGCACCUGAUUGACGAUGGAUUACCAGUGAGUGGCGGACGGGUGAGUAACACGUAGGUAACCUGCCCCGGAGCGGGGGAUAACAUUUGGAAACAGAUGCUAAUACCGCAUAACAACAAAAGCCACAUGGCUUUUGUUUGAAAGAUGGCUUUGGCUAUCACUCUGGGAUGGACCUGCGGUGCAUUAGCUAGUUGGUAAGGUAACGGCUUACCAAGGCGAUGAUGCAUAGCCGAGUUGAGAGACUGAUCGGCCACAAUGGAACUGAGACACGGUCCAUACUCCUACGGGAGGCAGCAGUAGGGAAUCUUCCACAAUGGGCGCAAGCCUGAUGGAGCAACACCGCGUGAGUGAAGAAGGGUUUCGGCUCGUAAAGCUCUGUUGUUGGAGAAGAACGUGCGUGAGAGUAACUGUUCACGCAGUGACGGUAUCCAACCAGAAAGUCACGGCUAACUACGUGCCAGCAGCCGCGGUAAUACGUAGGUGGCAAGCGUUAUCCGGAUUUAUUGGGCGUAAAGCGAGCGCAGGCGGUUGCUUAGGUCUGAUGUGAAAGCCUUCGGCUUAACCGAAGAAGUGCAUCGGAAACCGGGCGACUUGAGUGCAGAAGAGGACAGUGGAACUCCAUGUGUAGCGGUGGAAUGCGUAGAUAUAUGGAAGAACACCAGUGGCGAAGGCGGCUGUCUGGUCUGCAACUGACGCUGAGGCUCGAAAGCAUGGGUAGCGAACAGGAUUAGAUACCCUGGUAGUCCAUGCCGUAAACGAUGAGUGCUAGGUGUUGGAGGGUUUCCGCCCUUCAGUGCCGGAGCUAACGCAUUAAGCACUCCGCCUGGGGAGUACGACCGCAAGGUUGAAACUCAAAGGAAUUGACGGGGGCCCGCACAAGCGGUGGAGCAUGUGGUUUAAUUCGAAGCUACGCGAAGAACCUUACCAGGUCUUGACAUCUUGCGCUAACCUUAGAGAUAAGGCGUUCCCUUCGGGGACGCAAUGACAGGUGGUGCAUGGUCGUCGUCAGCUCGUGUCGUGAGAUGUUGGGUUAAGUCCCGCAACGAGCGCAACCCUUGUUACUAGUUGCCAGCAUUAAGUUGGGCACUCUAGUGAGACUGCCGGUGACAAACCGGAGGAAGGUGGGGACGACGUCAGAUCAUCAUGCCCCUUAUGACCUGGGCUACACACGUGCUACAAUGGACGGUACAACGAGUCGCAAGCUCGCGAGAGUAAGCUAAUCUCUUAAAGCCGUUCUCAGUUCGGACUGUAGGCUGCAACUCGCCUACACGAAGUCGGAAUCGCUAGUAAUCGCGGAUCAGCAUGCCGCGGUGAAUACGUUCCCGGGCCUUGUACACACCGCCCGUCACACCAUGGGAGUUUGUAACGCCCAAAGUCGGUGGCCUAACCUUUAUGGAGGGAGCCGCCUAAGGCGGGACAGAUGACUG
rnacentral:rRNA from 2 species